rnacentral:lncRNA from 1 species
UGUAUAUAUAAUAAUAGCGCAAAAAGAAAAGUUUAUGGAGGGUCCUAGCUGUGCUUUGUAUGAAGAGUAAAGAGCCAAGUACUUCUAUUUAUAGUGGCUUUGAGGCCUGCGUGCAGCAGAACAAUAAAAAACAAAAACAAAAGAUGAGUCACUCAGGAGGAGCUAUGAAGCUGAUGAUGGUGAUGAUGGCCAUGGCACUGCUCACCACAAGCCAUGGCAUUGGCAUCCACAUCAACACCAGCGUCAUCACCGGUGGCUACUCUGCCUCCCGUUGCAACGGCCUUACCGACACGGCAUGCCGGAUUGCUCACUCGGAGUUGGACUUUGACUUGGAGUUCAUGUUGGACUCGGAAUUCAGCAUAAGGCUCCUCCAGACAAAUGACGCUCAUCUUUCUCUGGAGGCGUUAGUUCCAACGAGUGCUGUGUCCUGUGGCCGACCGGAUGAACCAGGCUGCCAUGGACCGGGAAACGGCACACCCAAGCCAGAGCACUGCAAGGAUAACCAAACCCUUAGGAAUUGCCACCGACACGGCUAAUGGCCGCUACUACAACUGGUGUCUUUUGUUUCUUUUUCUGCUUCUUAAUAUUUAGUGCCCUACUCAAUCUGCGUCAGUUUAAUUUCUGUGUACGUUUGUGUGCUUUUGAUUCUCCCUUUUCUUUUUUUCUUUUUUGGUUUUAUUAAGGAAGGGGGUUCGAACUUGGGAUGUUUUGUAUCAUUUAGAAGAACUAGUUGGUUGGUUCUUCAAAUAUUUGUGUGCUGUAAUCGUGUUAACCAAUUUCAAGUCUAUAUGAUUUACUCUUUCUUUUCAA